rnacentral:rRNA from 1 species
AUUGAACGCUGGCGGCAGGCCUAACACAUGCAAGUCGAGCGGAUGAAGGGAGCUUGCUCCUGGAUUCAGCGGCGGACGGGUGAGUAAUGCCUAGGAAUCUGCCUGGUAGUGGGGGAUAACGUCCGGAAACGGGCGCUAAUACCGCAUACGUCCUGAGGGAGAAAGUGGGGGAUCUUCGGACCUCACGCUAUCAGAUGAGCCUAGGUCGGAUUAGCUAGUUGGUGGGGUAAAGGCCUACCAAGGCGACGAUCCGUAACUGGUCUGAGAGGAUGAUCAGUCAAACUGGAACUGGGACACGGUCCAGACUCCUACGGGAGGCAGCAGGGGGGAAUAUUGGACAAUGGGCGAAAGCCUGAUCCAGCCAUGCCGCGUGUGUGAAGAAGGUCUUCGGAUUGUAAAGCACUUUAAGUUGGGAGGAAGGGCAGUAAGUUAAUACCUUGCUGUUUUGACGUUACCAACAGAAUAAGCACCGGCUAACUUCGU